GGAAAUGAAGCAAGGUUUGCCUCAAAGAGCACAAAUAAUAUUUUCCUCAUGAUAUUUUGGUAAAAUCUGAGUCUCCGGAUCAAGGGAAUUCUGAACUGUGAUGCCAGGAAUGGAGGCCAAGAGAAACAACUUUCACGUGGUGAAAAAUGGUUUGAAAGGUUUCAGCAGCAGUCUAGAGAAUGAUCAGAAAGGGAAACAGAGAGAAACAAAGAUAUUCUGGUCUCCAAGUAAGACUCAACUAUGCUUAAGUGUGAAUUCCAUGGAAGACUAUUUCUCCUCAUCUUAGCUACAAAGGUGAUACAGCUCAUAUGACUGGUCUGAAAGGAGAAGGAAAAAGAAAAGAAAUGAGAGAAAAACAUGUGAAUCUCUGUGGAGGUCUAGGAAACAAUUUUAGAAUUAACUUGGGAAAUUUAUUUAUUGUGUACUUGUGUUCAAAAGAUGAGAGCCCAGCAGAUUAGCCACCUCUACCUAGGACACACAUUUUUGUUUCACACAUUUGCUCUUAUACUUUAAUUCAAGUGGAUAUUUUUCUUAAGCGAACAGAAACAUCGUGCAGUCAUGACAUUUGGCUAUUCUCUGGAGCAAUAUAGAAUUCACUGUCAGUAUUAAGAAUCUAAAAUGGAACACCUAUUCUUCACUGCUAUGCUUUAGUAUUGAUACAAAAGGAAAUACCAGAAAGCAAGUAAGAGGGAGCUGAAAUAGAUAUCACACACAUCUCAGAACUUAGUGAUUGUGAAGUUAGGGCUUAAUCAUGCAAAUUAAUAAUCACCCAUCCCAAAAUUCAGCUGCAGUCUUUGAGUGCCAACUCUUAGGAAAAUAUAUUUCUAACAAAUUCUAAAAAAAAAAAAAGCGUUACUUGCUAGUUUAUCCAAAAUUUUCCUCAGUGACACAUGAAAAGGACACGAACGAUUAUAUGUUCUUGCUCUUAGGAAAAAGACAUAAAAGACUAGGUUUGAGGAUUUUGAAUCUUAACAUCCUAUCAAUCAAUAACGCAUACUUGG